CCCCAUGCCAGCUCUCUCCGUCUCUGUUCAGUGUCUGUCAGCUGUCAGUCUCUCCCACAUGCCAGGUCUCUCUGUCUCUGUUCAGUGUGUCUGUCAGCUGUCAGUCUCUCCCACAUGCCAGGUCUCUCUGUCUCUGUUCAGUGUGUCUGUCAGCUAUCAGUCUCUCCCCCAUUCCAGCUCUCUGUCUCUGCGUCUGUCAGCUAUCAGUCUCUCCACC